rnacentral:rRNA from 1 species
GUGUCAGCAGCCGCGGUAAUACGGAGGAUCCGAGCGUUAUCCGGAAUUAUUGGGUUUAAAGGGUUCGUAGGCGGCUUUGUAAGUCAGUGGUGAAAUUUUCUAGCUUAACUAGGACACGGCCAUUGAUACUGCAGAGCUUGAAUAAUACGGAAGUAACUAGAAUAUGUAGUGUAGCGGUGAAAUGCUUAGAUAUUACAUGGAAUACCAAUUGCGAAGGCAGGUUACUACGUAUUUAUUGACGCUGAUGAACGAAAGCGUGGGGAGCGAACAGGAUUAGAUACCCUGGUAGUCCACGCCGUAAACGAUGGAUACUAGCUGUCCGGGCUUCGGCCUGGGUGGCUAAGCGAAAGUGAUAAGUAUCCCACCUGGGGAGUACGUUCGCAAGAAUGAA